UGCCCUGGUGGCCGAGUGGUCUAAGGCGUGAGACUAGGGGAGUCUCAUUGGUUCACACCAGCGCGGGUUUGAAUCCCGCCCGGGCAA
rnacentral:ncRNA from 13 species